rnacentral:rRNA from 1 species
GACGAAGGAGCCAAGCGUUGUUCGGAAUCACUGGGCUUAAAGCGUGCGUAGGCGGCCUGAAGGGUGUCGUGUGAAAUCCCCCGGCUCAACCGGGGAACGGCACGGCAAACCGCCAGGCUUGAGGCAGAUAGGGGCGACUAGAACUCUAGGUGGAGCGGUGAAAUGCGUUGAUAUCUAGGGGAAUGCCAGUGGUGAAAACGGGUCGCUGGGUCUGUCCUGACGCUGAGGCACGAAAGCGUGGGGAGCGAACGGG